rnacentral:rRNA from 1 species
GGGGGAUAUUGCACAAUGGGGGAAACCCUGAUGCAGCGACGCCGCGUGGAGGAAGAAGGUUUUCGGAUUGUAAACUCCUGCUGUUGAGGAAGAUAAUGACGGUACUCAACAAGGAAGUGACGGCUAACUACGUGCCAGCAGCCGCGGUAAAACGUAGGUCACAAGCGUUGUCCGGAAUUACUGGGUGUAAAGGGAGCGCAGGCGGGAAGACAAGUUGGAAGUGAAAUCCAUGGGCUCAACCCAUGAACUGCUUUCAAAACUGUUUUUCUUGAGUAGUGCAGAGGUAGGCGGAAUUCCCGGUGUAGCGGUGGAAUGCGUAGAUAUCGGGAGGAACACCAGUGGCGAAGGCGGCCUACUGGGCACCAACUGACGCUGAGGCUCGAAAGCGUGGGGAGCAAACAGGAUUAGAUACCCUGGUAGUCCACACCGUAAACGAUGAUUACUAGGUGUUGGAGGAUUGACCCCUUCAGUGCCGCAGUUAACACAAUAAGUAAUCCACCUGGGGAGUACGACCGCAAGGUUGAAACUCAAAGGAAUUGACGGGGGCCCGCACAAGCAGUGGAGUAUGUGGUUUAAUUCGACGCAACGCGAAGAACCUUACCAAGUCUUGACAUCCCUUGACGAUGCUGGAAACAGUAUUUCUCUUCGGAGCAAGGAGACAGGUGGUGCAUGGUUGUCGUCAGCUCGUGUCGUGAGAUGUUGGGUUAAGUCCCGCAACGAGCGCAACCCUUAUGGUCAGUUACUACGCAAGAGGACUCUGGCCAGACUGCCGUUGACAAAACGGAGGAAGGUGGGGAUGACGUCAAAUCAUCAUGCCCUUUAUGACUUGGGCUACACACGUACUACAAUGGCGUUAAACAAAGAGAAGCAAGACCGCGAGGUGGAGCAAAACUCAGAAACAACGUCCCAGUUCGGACUGCAGGCUGCAACUCGCCUGCACGAAGUCGGAAUUGCUAGUAAUCGUGGAUCAGCAUGCCACGGUGAAUACGUUCCCG